UACGUAGGGUGCGAGCGUUGUCCGGAAUUAUUGGGCGUAAAGAGCUCGUAGGCGGUUUGUCGCGUCGAAUGUGAAAACCCGGGGCUCAACCCCGGGCCUGCAUUCGAUACGGGCAGACUAGAGUUCGGUAGGGGAGUCUGGAAUUCCUGGUGUAGCGGUGAAAUGCGCAGAUAUCAGGAGGAACACCGGUGGCGAAGGCGGGUCUCUGGGCCGAUACUGACGCUGAGGAGCGAAAGCGUGGGGAGCGAACAGG
rnacentral:rRNA from 1 species